AACGAACGCUGGCGGCAUGCCUAACACAUGCAAGUCGAACGAGACCUUCGGGUCUAGUGGCGCACGGGUGCGUAACGCGUGGGAACCUGCCCUUAGGUUCGGAAUAACUCCCCGAAAGGGGUGCUAAUACCGGAUAAUGUCUUCGGACCAAAGAUUUAUCGCCUUUGGAUGGGCCCGCGUUGGAUUAGCUAGUUGGUAGGGUAAAAGCCUACCAAGGCGACGAUCCAUAGCUGGUCUGAGAGGAAGAUCAGCCACACUGGGACUGAGACACAGCCCAGACUCCUACGGGAGGCAGCAGUGGGGAAUAUUGGACAAUGGGCGAAAGCCUGAUCCAGCAAUGCCGCGUGAGUGAUGAAGGCCUUAGGGUUGUAAAGCUCUUUUACCCGGGAUGAUAAUGACAGUACCGGGAGAAUAAGCUCCGGCUAACUCCGUG
rnacentral:rRNA from 1 species